rnacentral:rRNA from 1 species
UACGGAGGGUGCGAGCGUUAAUCGGAAUUAUUGGGCGUAAAGGGUGCGUAGGUGGUUUAAUAAGUUAGCUGUGAAAUUCCUGGGCUUAACCUGGGGUGGUCAGCUAAGACUGUUAGACUAGGAGUAUAGGAGAGGGUAGUGGAAUUUCCGGUGUAGCGGUGAAAUGCGUAGAGAUCGGAAGGAACACCAGUGGCGAAGGCGGCUACCUGGCCUGAUACUGACACUGAGGCACGAAAGCGUGGGGAGCAAACAGG